UAGGGAAUCUUCGGCAAUGGGCGAAAGCCUGACCGAGCAACGCCGCGUGAAUGAAGAAGGCCUUCGGGUUGUAAAAUUCUGUUAUAAGGGAAGAAAGGUGAUAGGAGGAAAUGACUAUCAAUUGACGGUACCUUAUGAGAAAGCCACGGCUAACUACGUGCCAGCAGCCGCGGUAAUACGUAAGUGGCAAGCGUUAUCCGGAAUUAUUGGGCGUAAAGAGCGCGCAGGUGGUUAAUUAAGUCUGAUGUGAAAGCCCACGGCUUAACCGUGGAGGGUCAUUGGAAACUGGUUGACUUGAGUGCAGAAGAGGGAAGUGGAAUUCCAUGUGUAGCGGUGAAUGCGUAGAGAUAUGGAGGAACACCAGUGGCGAAGGCGGCUUCCUGGUCUGCAACUGACACUGAGGCGCGAAAGCGUGGGGAGCAAACAGGAUUAGAUACCC
rnacentral:rRNA from 1 species